rnacentral:rRNA from 1 species
GACGAACGCUGGCGGCGUGCUUAACACAUGCAAGUCGAACGGAAAGGCCCUGCUUGCAGGGUGCUCGAGUGGCGAACGGGUGAGUAACACGUGGGUGAUCUGCCCCUUACUUUGGGAUAAGCCUGGGAAACUGGGUCUAAUACUGGACAGGACCAUGCUGUAGGUGGUGUGGUGGAAAGAUUAGUUUCGGUUAGGGAUGAGCUCGCGGCCUAUCAGCUUGUUGGUGGGGUAAUGGCCUACCAAGGCGUCGACGGGUAGCCGGCCUGAGAGGGUGGACGGCCACGUUGGGACUAGGAUACGGCCCAGACUCCUACGAGAGGCAGCAGUGGGGAAUAUUGCACAAUGGGCGCAAGCCUGAUGCAGCGACGCCGCGUGGGGGGUGACGGCCUUCGGGUUGUAAACUCCUUUCAGCCAUGACGAAGCCCUUGUGGUGACGGUAGUGGUAGAAGAAGCACCGGCUAACUACGUG